rnacentral:rRNA from 1 species
GACGAACGCUGGCGGCGUGCUUAACACAUGCAAGUCGAACGGUAAGGCUCCAGCUUGCUGGGGUACACGAGUGGCGAACGGGUGAGUAACACGUGGGUGACCUGCCCUGCACUUCGGGAUAAGCCUGGGAAACUGGGUCUAAUACCGGAUAGGACCGCACCGUGAGGGUGUGGUGGAAAGUUUUUUCGGUGUGGGAUGGGCCCGCGGCCUAUCAGCUUGUUGGUGGGGUAAUGGCCUACCAAGGCGGCGACGGGUAGCCGGCCUGAGAGGGUGGACGGCCACAUUGGGACUGAGACACGGCCCAGACUCCUACGGGAGGCAGCAGUGGGGAAUAUUGCACAAUGGGCGGAAGCCUGAUGCAGCGACGCCGCGUGGGGGAUGACGGCCUUCGGGUUGUAAACUCCUUUCACCAUCGACGAAGGGUUUCUGACGGUAGAUGGAGAAGAAGCACCGGCUAACUACGUGCCAGCAGCCGCGGUAAUACGUAGGGUGCGAGCGUUGUCCGGAAUUACUGGGCGUAAAGAGCUCGUAGGUGGUUUGUCGCGUCGUCUGUGAAAUUCCGGGGCUUAACUCCGGGCGUGCAGGCGAUACGGGCAUAACUUGAGUACUGUAGGGGAGACUGGAAUUCCUGGUGUAGCGGUGAAAUGCGCAGAUAUCAGGAGGAACACCGGUGGCGAAGGCGGGUCUCUGGGCAGUAACUGACGCUGAGGAGCGAAAGCAUGGGGAGCGAACAGGAUUAGAUACCCUGGUAGUCCAUGCCGUAAACGGUGGGCGCUAGGUGUGGGUUUCCUUCCACGGGAUCCGUGCCGUAGCUAACGCAUUAAGCGCCCCGCCCGGGGAGUACGGCCGCAAGGCUAAAACUCAAAGGAAUUGACGGGGGCCCGCACAAGCGGCGGAGCAUGUGGAUUAAUUCGAUGCAACGCGAAGAACCUUACCUGGGCUUGACAUAUACAGGAUCGCGCCAGAGAUGGUGUUUCCCUUGUGGCUUGUAUACAGGUGGUGCAUGGUUGUCGUCAGCUCGUGUCGUGAGAUGUUGGGUUAAGUCCCGCAACGAGCGCAACCCUUGUCUUAUGUUGCCAGCACGUUGUGGUGGGGACUCGUAAGAAACUGCCGGGGUUAACUCGGAGGAAGGUGGGGAUGACGUCAAAUCAUCAUGCCCCUUAUGUCCAGGGCUUCACACAUGCUACAAUGGUCGGUACAGUGGGUUGCCAGUCCGUGAGGGCGAGCUAAUCCCGCAAAGCCGGUCUCAGUUCGGAUCGGGGUCUGCAACUCGACCCCGUGAAGUCGGAGUCGCUAGUAAUCGCAGAUCAGCAACGCUGCGGUGAAUACGUUCCCGGGCCU